rnacentral:misc_RNA from 1 species
AAUUGAUGUAUUUUCUCAAUCAUUAUAAAAUACAUCAAUUUGUCAAGAGGCCAAACAACCCAAAAUACUGAAUUCCUGCACAGCUGGUAACCUCUCAAAAGGAAAAGGAAAUGGCAAAGAAAAGGGAAAAAAAUAGGAGAACAAAAGAAGAGAAAAAGAAUGAUUUACAAAUUGUUUUGAGGAAACACAAAUCUCAGAAGAAUAACAAAAUUGGCAGGAAAAAAGGUUAGUAUCUUCACUCAAUCACUCUUGCUUUCACAACCUAAUCUAGCCAACGAGUAACUCCAUCAUCUUCCCCUACCACUGCCAGAAUCUCAACGCGUACAUCCAAAAUAGCCAAAGGAUUUCUACAGUUAACCAGCCUACAUUCCUCCAAUGAACCUUCCAAUGUCCAACUCUCCCAGACAUCAAAGCUGUGACUAGCAAAUACAAAUUCCAUUCUUCUGUUAAUCUGCAAUAACUUUCCACCAGCAGCAAAAGAACGCAACCCAAUAGUGUCCUUGCUUCUGAAAACAACAAGGAACUGUGCUGCAGGAUCUCUUUUUGUUACAUUUGACAUGGAAUCCAAGAACCAACCACCCCCUUUAACUCUCUGCCUUGAGACAUGGAGUUCAGGGUGAUCUCUUGCAUAUAAAGCAAUAACACACCCAUCUUUCAGCAGCUCACUAGACUUUCUGCUAAGCUUCUUGCUUGAUCUUAAAAGCUGGUCAGAAGUUGAUUCUUGCAUUGAUGCUAUUGGUGUUUUCCUACUACUUGAGUCUUCAGGGGAACCGAACCUAGAACUGGAACUUAACACUUGAUCAGUACCACUCAUAGCAGUAUCAUCUUCACGAUGUAAAUUGCUUUCCUUUUCUAAUUGAGAAGGAUCAUCUGAUUUCUGCAAGGAUUUUUGACGGCCAUGUCUUUUUUUU